rnacentral:rRNA from 1 species
AACGAACGCUGGCGGCAGGCCUAACACAUGCAAGUCGAACGCCCCGCCAGGGGUGUGUCCGACGGGUGGGUACCACGUGGGAACCUUCCCUAUAGUACGGAAUAGCCCAGGGAAACUUGGAGUAAUACCGUAUACGCCCGAAAGGGGAAAGAAUUUCGCUAUAGGAUGGGCCCGCGUAGGAUUAGCUAGUUGGUGAGGUAAUGGCUCACCAAGGCGACGAUCCUUAGCUGGUUUGAGAGAACGACCAGCCACACUGGGACUGAGACACGGCCCAGACUCCGACGGGAGGGAGCAGUGGGGAAUAUAGGACAAGGGGCGCAAGCGUGAUCCAGCCAUGCCGCGGGAGUGAGGAAGGCCUUAGGGUUGUAAAGCUCUUUUGGCGGGGACGAUAAUGACGGUACCCGCAGAAUAAGUCCCGGCUAACUUCGUG